UGAAUACGAGACGCUAAGGCGUCGAAGUAGUGUAUGUCAUACUUCCAAGAAAAGCUUGCACUGUCAUAGAUAAAAAACGCCUGUACCAUAACCGACACAGGUGGGUAGGUAGAGUAUACUAAGGGGCGCGAGAUAACUCUCUCUAAGGAACUCGGCAAAAUAACUCCGUAACUUCGGGAGAAGGAGUGCCUUAUUAUUAAGGCUGCAAUAACAAGAUCCAAGCAACUGUUUAUCAAAAACACAGGUCUCCGCUAAGUCGUAAGACGAUGUAUGGGGGCUGACGCCUGCCCAGUGCCAGAAGGUUAAAGAAGUUGGUUAGCAUUUGCGAAGCUGAUAACUGAAGCCCUGGUGAACGGCGGCCGUAACUAUAACGGUCCUAAGGUAGCGAAAUUCCUUGUCGGGUAAGUUCCGACCCGCACGAAAGGCGUAAUGAUUUGGAUACUGUCUCGGAGAGGGGCUCGGUGAAAUAGACUUGUCUGUGAAGAUGCGGACUACCUGCACCAGGACAGAAAGACCCUAUGAAGCUUUACUGUAACUUGAAAUUGAAAUUGGACUUUAUUCGCGCAGCAUAGGUGGGAGGCGUUGAUUAUAAUCUUGUGGGAUUAUUGGAGCCAUCAGUGAGAUACCACUCUUGUAAUGUUAGAUUUCUAACUUUGAAUCAUUAUCUGGUCAAAGAACAGUUUCAGGCGGGCAGUUUGACUGGGGCGUCGCCUCCUAAACGGUAACGGAGGCGUACAAAGGUUUCCUCUGAACGGUUAGAAAUCGUAUCUAGAGUGUAAAGGCAUAAGGAAGCUUGACUGUGAGACCUACAAGUCGAGCAGGGACGAAAGUCGGUCUUAGUGAUCUGACGGUACUGAGUGGAAAGGCCGUCACUCAACGGAUAAAAGUUACUCUAAGGAUAACAGGCUGAUCUCCCCCAAGAGUUCACAUCGACGGGGAGGUUUGGCACCUCGAUGUCGGCUCAUCGCAUCCUGGGGCGGUAGUACGUCCCAAGGGUUGGGCUGUUCGCCCAUGAAAGCGGUACGCGAGCUGGGUUCAGAACGUCGUGAGACAGUUCGGUCCAUAUCCGGUGUAGGCGUUAGAAUAUUGAGAGGAGCCUUCUUUAGUACGAGAGGACCGAGAAGGACAUACCUCUGGUGUACCAGUUAUCGUGCCAACGGUAAACGCUGGGUAGCUAUGUAUGGAGUGGAUAACCGCUGAAAGCAUCUAAGUGGGAAGCCCACCUCAAGAUAAGUAUUCUCAC
rnacentral:rRNA from 1 species